rfam:Sorghum bicolor cultivar BTx623 chromosome 6, whole genome shotgun sequence.
GUCCCCAUGAGGAUUUCAAGACCUACCGAUAGGAAGUGCCGUUUAACAAUGUAAACAUCAGCUCUUCUUUUGCUGCAAGUGUCUCCUAUGAACGUAACCUCUGUGAUUUGAUUUGGAAUGGAGCUCCAUCUGUAAUAAUUGUUUAAUUCAGCUGUGGUGUGAUUUAAAUUGGAUCUCUGAGGGGU